CCUACGGGUGGCAGCAGUGGGGAAUAUUGGACAAUGGGGGCAACCCUGAUCCAGCCAUGCCGCGUGUGUGAAGAAGGCCCUCGGGUUGUAAAGCACUUUCAGUGAGGAAGAACGCCUGGUGGUUAAUACCCAUCAGGAAAGACAUCACUCACAGAAGAAGCACCGGCUAACUCCGUGCCAGCAGCCGCGGUAAUACGGAGGGUGCGAGCGUUAAUCGGAAUUACUGGGCGUAAAGCGCGCGUAGGUGGCUUGAUAAGCCGGUUGUGAAAGCCCCGGGCUCAACCUGGGAACGGCAUCCGGAACUGUCAAGCUGGAGUGCAGGAGAGGAAGGUAGAAUUCCCGGUGUAGCGGUGAAAUGCGUAGAGAUCGGGAGGAAUACCAGUGGCGAAGGCGGCCUUCUGGACUGACACUGACACUGAGGUGCGAAAGCGUGGGUAGCAAACAGGAUUAGAUACCCUUGUAGUC
rnacentral:rRNA from 1 species